UCCUGGUUAACCCAGGCAGUCUCAUUAGAGUUCCCACCUUAAAUGUUGGCAACUAAUGAUAAGGGUUGCGCUCGUUGCGGGACUUAACCCAACACCUCACGGCACGAGCUGACGACAGCCAUGCAGCACCUGUGCAAAAGCCCCGAAGGGACGCUCUAUCUCUAGAGUUUUCUUCUGCAUGUCAAGUCUGGGUAAGGUUCUUCGCGUUGCAUCGAAUUAAACCACAUGCUCCACUGCUUGUGCGGGUCCCCGUCAAUUCUUUUGAGUUUCAGCCUUGCGACUGUACUCCCCAGGCGGUAUACUUAUCGCGUUUGCUACGACACAGCUGGGGUUGAGUCCAGCUACAUCUAGUAUACAUAGUUUACGGCAAGGACUAC
rnacentral:misc_RNA from 1 species